CAGCCCCCCACCAGCGUCACCCGCGUCCUGACAGUCGCCGCGACGAGCAACAAGGUGGAGGGGGAGCAGCAGGCAGGCCAGUGUCUGCUGUCCAGCCCUGGGCUCUGGGUUGGGUACGUCCUGGAGAAGGGCCUCAUCGGAGCUUUCCUCUUCUUCCUCUUCGUGCGCAGGAAGGAGCCGUAAGCUCCCAGCUGCUUUCACGCCUCGGCCGCUUGCAAGCUUGGAGGCAGCCUCUCUCCCCAGAGGCAGGAUGGAGCACGCAGGUGGAGCGGUGGUGGGCUCACCAGCUGCUCCAUGCACCCCGGGGAGGGGCUCCAGACCUGGCUGCUGCCCCCCACCCCAGCCCGUUCCCCAGCAGCUUUGCCUUGACCCAGUUCAGGAGCUGGCUCCAUGCAAGUGCAAUGCAGCUGUGUGUCAUUCACUCCCUGACCACGCCGUGCAGUGCCGCGGGGCUGUGCACAGUGUCCCCAAGUGUCCUGCAGGCCCUGAGCUGUCCUGGGAGCAUGGGCGCCUGGUCCGGCUGCUCAGUCUUGCUCCCGGGGCCAGUGAGGACAGGGCGCUCUGCAGAGGGAUGCUGUGUUGCUGUCUCUGUUGGCUCCUGUCACUUCUGUUUGGAAAUAAACCAUGCUAGACAUGCUUGCACCUGC